UAGCAAAUAACCUUCGCCGAUUGUCCUCUGGUUCCAGAAUCUUCUCCUAAGAUACAGUGUAAAAAGCAGGUAAAUCAAUCAGAUUCAGGACAUUAGUAGCCAUGGCUGAGGGAGAAAGGCAGCAUCCACCUCAUCCAUCUCCAGCACAUGAUGGGAUUAGAGCCUCCAACUAAGCAUCCUUAAAUCUCUCAGAGUGCUGUGGACCAAGAAAAGGCUGUGGAGGAGACAAUAGUGAAUGACUGAAGAUUUGGAACAAGAAAGUGACUAGUAUGACCCAGGCAUCAAAGAUCAGUCCAUUCAUAAUAAAACCCAAAAAACCCAAGGAUCUCUUAUGAAUCAAGUAGUAUGCUAGAAGCUGAGGAUUCACAUAAAAAAUAAAUAGUCUCAACCAUCAGAGGGCUUAAGGAUGGAGUAAGUUCCCAGGGUCUCCGUCUGCUUACAGAGGUCCUCGGUGUACUUUAAGGAUGACUGCUUGUUCCAAGGUGCUGAUUUUAAUCUACAAAGGCCUGGCUACUCCCCUUCUCCCCCAGACACCCAGACCACAAUUAGCAUCAGCAUGAGAGUUGCUGCUGCUGCUGCUGCACUCCAGAUGUGAAUUCCUUAGGCAUCUUUGAGGAGAGAUGGAAAGGAACUAGCAGAGACAGAAGCUUCCCCAGGUGCUGGUUUGCACCCAGCAUGAAGCUCUUUACAUAUGGAUUCAGUAAACCUUUGCCUAUCUGGUGACAGGGUUCCAGUGAUUCAAAGCAUAUUUCUGGGAGCUAAGAGAAGCUCACCUUCCUGAUGGUGAUGAGAACAGAAAUCAGCUCCUAUCACUACUGAGAGCCAUAUCUCAUCAGCUCAUGGAAAGGAUGGGUUUAUUUCUUUAUCCAUUUGGGGAUCUCACUAAGAAUGAAGGGUGAAUUUCAUAAGAUGGGAGGGGAAGAAGGGCACAAUCUAUUCUGGGGAUUUGUCAGAACUAUAGUAGCAGAGCCAGUAUCCAGCUAUUUGUUCAGAAAGCAAACUUAACUUACAAGUCUUCCCUUAUCCCAUAAUUCAGAGAAUACUUUUUUCCAACCCACAUUAAUAAGAAAAAAUAAUAAAAAAAUGUGGAGGGAGGAGGAAAGAAAGAAGGGUUAGGGUGGGAAGAGAGUGAGCAAGGAAAGGAAUUUGCUUAACAGAAUCAUUUCUGUGCCUCCUCGAACACUUUGAUUAAAGCCAUGGGACCUAAAUCAAAGCCACUGAAAGGAGAAAUAAAAAGACUUCUGAGAAC